UUCCUGCCGCCCCCCCCCCCGCGCCGUUCGGAGCCGCGGCGCUGGAAGUGAAUUUUAUAAAGCUGAUCGAUAUCUUGGUAAAAUAUUCAUUUUUAAACGGGCGCCCGGCGAAAUCUUUGCUUUGUGCUAAAGUCAACAGUGGCACAGUUGGAGCUCCAAUAAAUGCCGGGAUGCUCCCAGCUCCCGCACAGCCGGGCCGGCGGCCGGGGCGCAGGAAUCGCCGCUCUCCCGGUGCCAUUCCCGCAGCUCCCUCUUUCCUGCACCCGCGUGGGCCAAAAAAUCCGGGAUCCAAACAUUCCCGCGGGUGUGCUUGCCGGGAAAACCGGGAAUUUCAGCGGCCCUUCCCGAGGUUCGGGGGGCACGAGGCGGGGGUCACGGCUCGGAGAGGGUGGCCGUGUCCCCCUCCGUGUCCCUCUCCGUGUCCCCUCACGGCGACAGGUGACACGGCUAAUGAGCUCUCGCUAAUUAACGCUGACAGCUCCAAUUAGCGCUCCGCGCCCGCCUGUCCCCCCCGCGGGGGGCAGCGCCCAUCCCGCCGCCUUCUCGCUCCUGCCCUGCCGCUCCCGGCUGCUUUUCCCUCUUUUCCCGAGCAUUCCCAGCUCUCCGCAAUUGCCGGGAUCGCUGUGUCCCUGCUCCGUUUUCCUGUCAGUUCCCGUCAAAUCCCGGGUUCGGGGUGUUUUUUGGGAUGCGGUUGGGGAAUGCCGAGCAGGACCGGGCAGGGCCUGAGCUCCCAGAUCAGCCCCGCUCCAGCGGCUUCUCUUCCCUCCGUUAUCCAUAGUUUUCUUUAAUUUUUCCACGACUUCUCCCGCCAGGAAAAGCUACUUUCCCCCUUUUUUAUUUUUCUUUUUUCUUUUAAUUAUCCCGGCCUUUAAUGACAUUCAGGGACGGCUCCAAGGACAUCAAAGCACAAAGAGGACGGGGAAGCCCCGAUGGGAUCCCAAAUUCUCCCCCAAAUCUUUCCCCCAGGAUAACCGGCCCUGCCUUCCCUGAUCGCAGCAUCCAGCGCAUUUCUGGAUGAUCCCAAGGAAAAAAAAAAAAAA